UACGUAGGGGGCGAGCGUUGUCCGGAAUCAUUGGGCGUAAAGCGCGUGUAGGCGGCUUGGUAAGUCUGGUGUGAAAACUUGGGGCUCAACCCCAAGCCUGCACUGGAUACUGCCUCGCUUGAGUCCGGGAGGGGAGAGCGGAAUUCCUAGUGUAGCGGUGAAAUGCGCAGAUAUUAGGAAGAACACCGGUGGCGAAGGCGGCUCUCUGGAACGGUACUGACGCUGAGACGCGAAAGCGUGGGGAGCGAACAGG
rnacentral:rRNA from 1 species